rnacentral:rRNA from 1 species
CGGCAAACGGGUGUGGAACACGUACAGAGCCUUCCUUUAAGCGGGGGAUAGCCCGGAGAAAUCCGGAUUAAUACCCCAUAGUAUUAUUGAUUGGCAUCAAUUGGUAAUUAAAGAUUUAUCACUUAAAGAUGGCUGUGCGGCUGAUUAGGUAGUUGGUGUAGGUAAAGGCUCACCAAGCCAGCGAUCAGUAACUGGUGUGAGAGCACGACCAGUCACACGGGCACUGAGACACGGGCCCGACUCCUACGGGAGGCAGCAGUAAGGAAUAUUGGUCAAUGGAGGCAACUCUGAACCAGCCAUGCCGCGUGAAGGAUGAAGGUCCUCUGGAUUGUAAACUUCUUUUAUGUGGGAAGAAAUGCAUUCUUUAUAGAGUGUUUGACGGUACCAUAGGAAUAAGCACCGGCUAACUCCGUGCCAGCAGCCGCGGUAAUACGGAGGGUGCAAGCGUUAUCCGGAUUCACUGGGUUUAAAGGGUGCGUAGGUGGGAAUGUAAGUCAGUGGUGAAAUCUCUGAGCUUAACUCAGAAACUGCCAUUGAUACUAUGUUUCUUGAAUUUUCUGGAGGUCAGCGGAAUAUGUCAUGUAGCGGUGAAAUGCUUAGAUAUGACAUAGAACACCAAUUGCGAAGGCAGCUGACUACAGGGAUAUUGACACUGAGGCACGAAAGCGUGGGGAUCAAACAGGAUUAGAUACCCUGGUAGUCCACGCCCUAAACGAUGGAUACUCGACAUUUGUGAUAGACAAUAAGUGUC